UACGAAGGGGGCUAGCGUUACUCGGAUUGACUGGGCGUAAAGGGCGCGUAGGCGGCUUGUACAGUCAGACGUGAAAUUCCUGGGCUCAACCUGGGGGCUGCGUUUGAUACGUGCGGGCUUGAGUUCGGGAGAGGAUGGUGGAAUUCCCAGUGUAGAGGUGAAAUUCGUAGAUAUUGGGAAGAACACCGAUGGCGAAGGCAGCCAUCUGGACCGACACUGACGCUGAGGCGCGAAAGCGUGGGGAGCAAACAGG
rnacentral:rRNA from 1 species